AUAAAAGUAACUUUCUAUUACACAAAUGACUUCUUUUACAAUGACUCAUUUUCUUUACACUUACUAUUUAUAGUAGCAGAUAACAAGACUUACUAUCAAGGAGUCCAAUAUAUAACAACCAAAUGACCUUCAAAACCCUAAUUGGUUAGUUACAAACAGUAAGUAAUCAAUAUUACAAAACUGCCACAUUAUGAUGAUGCCAAGUGGCAUCAUUACUUUAGUCUAAAGAAGGGAUUCCAAUUGCACUGUUCAAAUGUACAGUGUUCGGAGCAGAACCUGUUCUUUCCCUCUUUCUCUCUCCCGACUCUCUCUCGUCAAAUGAACAGUGUUAUUUUGGGUGAGGAAAGCACCGAGCCUGCAGCAGCAUGCAGCAGCUCAACUGAAGGUCGAAGUUUGCAUUCUCAUGGAAAAAGGCAAAAGUGAAGGACUCUAAGCUUCCAGAAUGUCAAAUUUGUAAAACUUUCGGUUGUUCUGGCAAGUUUUAUUGUAGUGUGUGUGUGUGUGUCCAUCAUCAUGUCAUUGGAAUCAUAUAUUUGAAUUUGGAUUUGGAAUGGUUUUUCUGAUGUUUGUAUUUUUUGUAUAUUAUAAUUCAGUGCAGGUUUGCAUUGGAUAUAGGAUAGUCAUGUAUCGGUUCGAAGCUCGGCUAAUGAUGGUUUCAGAUCUUGAUCAUACAAUGGCACAGUUGAGGGAGGUGACAUUGCAGGAAGAGAAUGCUGUAUAUGAAAGGGCAAUAUCGUGUGAAUAAAAUACAGGAGAAAAUUCAAGAAGCAGAUUUGCUGAAGAGGAAGCUAAU